UUGAGGAGGAAGCCCCCGGCUAACUACGUGCCAGCAGCCGCGGUAAUACGUAGGGGCAAGCGUUAUCCGGAAUCACUGGGGCGUAAAGGGGUGCGUAGGCGGUUUUUCAAGUCAGAAGUGAAAGGCUAUGGCUCAACCAUAGUAAGCUUUUGAAACUGUUAAACUUGAGUGCAGGAGAGGAAAGUGGAAUUCCUAGUGUAGAGGUGAAAUUCGUAGAUAUUAGGAGGAACACCAGUGGCGAAGGCGACUUUCUGGACUGUAACUGACGCUGAGGCACGAAAGCGUGGGGAGCGAACAGGAUUAGAUACCCCUGGUAG
rnacentral:rRNA from 1 species